rnacentral:rRNA from 1 species
GAUGAACGCUGGCGGCGUGCCUGAUACAUGCAAGUCGAGCGAACGGACGAGAAGCUUGCUUCUCUGAUGUUAGCGGCGGACGGGUGAGUAACACGUGGAUAACCUACCUAUAAGACUGGGAUAACUUCGGGAAACCGGAGCUAAUACCGGAUAAUAUUUUGAACCGCAUGGUUCAAAAGUGAAAGACGGUCUUGCUGUCACUUAUAGAUGGAUCCGCGCUGCAUUAGCUAGUUGGUAAGGUAACGGCUUACCAAGGCAACGAUGCAUAGCCGACCUGAGAGGGUGAUCGGCCACGCUGGAACUGAGACACGGUCCAGACUCCUACGGGAGGCAGCAGUAGGGAAUCUUCCGCAAUGGGCGAAAGCCUGACGGAGCAACGCCGCGUGAGUGAUGAAGGUCUUCGGAUCGUAAAACUCUGUUAUUAGGGAAGAACAUAUGUGUAAGUAACUGUGCACAUCUUGACGGUACCUAAUCAGAAAGCCACGGCUAACUACGUG